rnacentral:rRNA from 1 species
UAGGUAAAAAAAUUUUUAUAUAAAUUUUUUAAACAUUAUUAAAUAAAAAAAUUAAUUAAAUUUUAACUACUAAAAAAUAAAAAUAAAAUUAUUACUUAAAUUUAAGUUAAAUGUAAAAUAAAAGUAGUUUUAAGUUAACGUACCUUUAGUAUCAGGGUUAAUUAAUAGUAAUUAUGUAUUUAAAAUUCUCGAAAAAAAUAGAAAUAAGCUUUAUUAUUUAUAAUAUGUAAAAAUUAUAUAAAAAUAAAAUUUAGAUUUUAUAAAAAUUCAAUAUUUUAAUAUCUAGUUGUUAAAGAAAAGAUUCAAUCUUAUAUUAUUAUUAAUUACUUAAUUAAAUUUUAAAUUUAUAAUUUAAUAUUUUAAAAGACAAGUUAUAAAAUUUAGGAUAAAUAGAAAAAAAAAUUUUAAUAAAAUAGUAUUAAAAAUUUAUAAUUUUAAAGUUUGUUAAAAUAUUAAAGAAAAAAAAAAAUUUAACGAAAAAAUUAUAAAUUAAAUUUAACAAUAAUUUAAAAUAAAACAUAAUAAAAUCUUAUGAUUAAAUUAAUAUACUUUAAAAUUAAUAUAAAAAGAACUAGGCAAUAUUAAUUUUCAACUGUUUAACAAAAACAUAGCUUAAAGUUUAAGUUUUAAGUAAAUUCUGCUCAAUGAAUAAAAUUAAAUAGCUGCAGUAUUAACUGUACUAAGGUAGCAUAAUAAUUUGUUUUGUAAUUUAAAACUAGAAUGAAAGGUACUAUGAGAAAUUAACUAUUUAAUAAAUUUAAAAGUAAAAUUUAAUAAUUAAGUAAAAAAUCUUAAAUUAAAUAAAAAGACAAGAAGACCCUGUAGAAUUUAAUAAUUAAUAUUAAAAUCAUUAAUAAAAACUAUUUAAUUGGGGAGAUUAUAAAUAAACAAAAACAUUUAUUUUUAAUUUACAUAAAUUUAUGAAUCUUUUUAUACCCAUAAAUAAUGAACUAAGAAUAAAUUACCUAAGGGAUAACAGCGUAAAAUUUUUAAAAAGAUCAAAUUUACAAAAUUUAUUACGACCUCGAUGUUGGAUUAAGCAAAUCAUUAAAGAAGAAUUUAAUUAUUAAAGGUCUGUUCGACCUGCAGAGCUUACAUGAUCUGAGUUCAGACCGGCGUAAGCCAGGUCAGUUUAUAUCUUUUAUUUAACAUUUAAUUAUAGUACGAAAGGAUUUAAUUAGUUAAAAUUUUUAUAAAAU